rnacentral:rRNA from 1 species
AUUGAACGCUGGCGGCAGGCUUAACACAUGCAAGUCGAGCGGAGAUGAGGUGCUUGCACCUUAUCUUAGCGGCGGACGGGUGAGUAAUGCUUAGGAAUCUGCCUAUUAGUGGGGGACAACAUUCCGAAAGGAAUGCUAAUACCGCAUACGUCCUACGGGAGAAAGCAGGGGAUCUUCGGACCUUGCGCUAAUAGAUGAGCCUAAGUCGGAUUAGCUAGUUGGUGGGGUAAAGGCCUACCAAGGCGACGAUCUGUAGCGGGUCUGAGAGGAUGAUCCGCCACACUGGGACUGAGACACGGCCCAGACUCCUACGGGAGGCAGCAGUGGGGAAUAUUGGACAAUGGGGGGAACCCUGAUCCAGCCGCGCCGCGUGUGUGAAGAAGGCCUUAUGGUUGUAAAGCACUUUAAGCGAGGAGGAGGCUACUGAGACUAAUACUCUUGGAUAGUGGACGUUACUCGCAGAAUAAGCACCGGCUAACUCUGUGCCAGCCGCCGCCGUAAGAC